GCCCGGGUGGCGGAAUGGCAGGCGCAGCGGACUCAAAAUCCGCUGUCCGAAAGGGCGUGUGGGUUCAAAUCCCACCCCGGGCA
rnacentral:tRNA from 1 species